AGAGUUCGAUUAUGGCUCAGGACGAACGCUGGCGGCGCGCCUAACACAUGCAAGUCGAACGGGGUGCGUUCGGAUGAAGUUUUCGGAUGGAAUCUGGAUGUACCUAGUGGCGAACGGGUGAGUAACACGUGAAUAACCUGCCCUGGAGUGGGGGACAACAGUUGGAAACGACUGCUAAUACCGCAUAAGCCCACAGAGCCGCAUGGCUCAGGGGGAAAAGGAGCAAUUCGCUUCAGGAUGGAUUCGCGUCCAAUUAGCUAGAUGGUGAGGUAACGGCCCACCAUGGCAACGAUUGGUAGCCGGACUGAGAGGUUGAUCGGCCACAUUGGGACUGAGACACGGCCCAG
rnacentral:rRNA from 1 species